rnacentral:piRNA from 1 species
CCCCACUGAGCAGCAGAUCAUGCAACUGCUUC